rnacentral:misc_RNA from 1 species
CAGUAGUCACCCGGGGCGCCGCAAGGCCUCCCGGGUAACCUACCACCCUUUGUUUAUUACACUUUGUUGCUUUGGCAGGCCUGCCCUCGGGCUGCUGGCUCCGGCCGGCGAGCGCUUGCCAGAGGACCCAAAACUCUGAAUUUAAAGUAUUGUCUGAGUACUAUAUAAUAGUUA